rnacentral:lncRNA from 1 species
CACCUAAGGAAGCUGUGAUCCAUAAUUCCGAGUGCCUGGUGCUGCCUAGCCUGCAAGAGAAUUGCUCGGUGUGAAAGGUAAUAUGCAAAAAGAUUUUUUCCUUUUUUCUCUUUUUUUCUCUUUUUAUCUCUUUUUUCUCUUUUCUUCUCUUUUUUUCUCUUUUUUCUUUUUUUUCUCUUUUUUCCCUUUCCUUUCCUUUCCUUUCCUUUCCUUUCCUUUCCUUUCCUUUCCUUUCCUUUCCUUUCCUUUCCUUUCCUUUCCUUUCCCUUUCCCUUUCCUUUUCCCUUUCCUUUNNNNNNNNNNNNNNNNNNNNNNNNNNNNNNNNNNNUUUUUUUUUUUUUUUUUUUUUUUAAGUCUUUUUGGCAGGCUUUGGAAAAGGCCUGUUUCCUGGCAGGAGGAAAAGCCAGCCUUGGCUUCAAGCAGUCACUGACAAUUCCCAGCAUAUGGUAAGAGAGGGAGCUUCCGCCUACCCCAUCAGGUAAGUGCCAUCUUCCUUACUACAGGCAGCAAUGAUCGAUGUCACGCUUGGAGAGCACUGGCUGCUGGGAGAGGAGCCAAGUGGCCAACUGUCCGAUACAACAGAACAGGUUCUCUUUUCCAUUUACAGGACACUCCAAUCUGCAGUGAACUGCUUUCUCAUCUGAGGCUCAGGCAGCCAUCCCACAAGCUUUACUUGGGAAACCUCUAACUGAUUUUAGAUUUACACAGCAGAGAAACUUGGAGGUAGAAACAUGAGGCUGGAUGAAAGUCACCAAGUAUCUGCAUUUGAAAAUGGCCAGCAACAAGCCCUAUAAAGAGAUGCACAAGAAGCAUACAUGGAUGCCAGAAGCCCGAGGAACCAGAGCACUACUGGCCAGGUUCUGCGAUCCCUGUGCCACUGUGGGCACAAAUAGAAGGAAGAAAGAAAAACGUUGGAACUGUGACAUGGGAAAGUGCAACCCUCAAAGUAUCUCUAGGUUGCCUGUGAACAAACCCUGGUCUGUCCAGUUGCUCACAGCAGUGAGAUCGGCAGAAGGGGCCUCUCCUGUGAUUUCUCCUUGUGAUUCUUCCAGUUUGAGCUGGAAAUUGCAUGACAAUAUCCUUUACUAACUACUUUGGCAGCUCUUUGACCAAAUCAGGAAGUUCAGC